CGGUGUUUAACUGGCGUGAUGUGGGACGUCCUACCGGUGGGCUUAGCCUCGCGAGGGGCGGCCCAACUAAUAUCCCGUCGCGGUGCUCUUUACUGAGUGUCGAGUCGGGCCGGUACGUUUACUUUGAACAAAUUAGAGUGCUUAAAGCGGGCUAUCCUCGCCUGAAUACUGCGUGCAUGGAAUAAUGGAAUAGGACCUCGGUUCUAUUUUGUUGGUUUUCGGAACCCCGAGGUAAUGAUUAAUAGGGACAGAUGGGGGCAUUCGUAUUGCGACGUUAGAGGUGAAAUUCUUGGAUCGUCGCAAGACGGACAGAAGCGAAAGCAUUUGCCAAAAAUGUUUUCAUUAAUCAAGAACGAAAGUUAGAGGUUCGAAGGCGAUCAGAUACCGCCCUAGUUCUAACCAUAAACGAUGCCAGCUAGCGAUCCGCCGAAGUUCCUCCGAUGACUCGGCGGGCAGCUUCCGGGAAACCAAAGCUUUUGGGUUCCGGGGGAAGUAUGGUUGCAAAGCUGAAACUUAAAGGAAUUGACGGAAGGGCACCACCAGGAGUGGAGCCCGCGGCUUAAUUUGACUCAACACGGGAAACCUCACCAGGCCCAGACACCGGAAGGAUUGACAGAUUGAUAGCUCUUUCUUGAUUCGGUGGGUGGUGGUGCAUGGCCGUUCUUAGUUGGUGGAGCGAUUUGUCUGGUUAAUUCCGAUAACGAACGAGACUCUAGCCUGCUAAAUAGGCGUACCUUAUGGUAUCGCGAAGGCCCCCGGCUUCGGCCGGUGGGUUUUUACUACCAACGUACAAACAAAUCUUUUUAGAGGAACAGGCGG
rnacentral:rRNA from 1 species